rnacentral:lncRNA from 1 species
GGGAUUUAUUUAUAAUUCCCGUCAGAGGGUGUUGUCAAUUUGAUUUAGAAACUUCUUGCUAGCUUUUCAGUAUGCUACUCAGAUUAAGAUUUUCUUACCGGAGAAAAACAAAACGGUAGCUGCUAGGGGGGGAUCCGGACUUCCAGAAUCCUGGUUAGUAUUUUUUGUACUGGUAAUUAAGCGAUUGCAUUGAUAGACAGGUUUGUGCAUUUGGCUUGCAGUCAAC